rnacentral:rRNA from 1 species
UACAGAGGUCCCAAGCGUUGUUCGGAUUCACUGGGCGUAAAGGGUGCGUAGGCGGUCGGGUAAGUCUGAUGUGAAAUCUCCAAGCUCAACUUGGAAAUGGCAUCGGAUACUAUUCGGCUCGAGGAAUGGAGGGGAGACUGGAAUACUUGGUGUAGCAGUGAAAUGCGUAGAUAUCAAGUGGAACACCAGUGGCGAAGGCGAGUCUCUGGACAUUUCCUGACGCUGAGGCACGAAAGCGUGGGGAGCAAACAGG